UACGUAGGGUGCAAGCGUUAUCCGGAAUUAUUGGGCGUAAAGAGCUCGUAGGCGGUUUGUCGCGUCUGCUGUGAAAACUGGAGGCUCAACCUCCAGCCUGCAGUGGGUACGGGGCAGACUAGAGUGCGGUAGGGGGAGAUUGGAAUUCCUGGUGUAGCGGUGGAAUGCGCAGAUAUCAGGAGGAACACCAAUGGCGAAGGCAGAUCUCUGGGCCGUAACUGACGCUGAGGAGCGAAAGCAUGGGGGAGCGAACAGG
rnacentral:rRNA from 1 species